UUGAUCCAGCCAUGCCCGCGUGUGUGAAGAAGGCCUUAUGGGUGUAAAGCACUUUAAGCGAGGAGGAGGCUACUUUAGUUAAUACUAGAGAUAGUGGACGUUACUCGCAGAAUAAGCACCGGCUAACUCUGUGCCAGCAGCCGCGGUAAUACAGAGGGUGCAAGCGUUAAUCGGAUUUACUGGGCGUAAAGCGCGCGUAGGCGGCUAAUUAAGUCAAAUGUGAAAUCCCCGAGCUUAACUUGGGAAUUGCAUUCGAUACUGGUUAGCUAGAGUGUGGGAGAGGAUGGUAGAAUUCCAGGUGUAGCGGUGAAAUGCGUAGAGAUCUGGAGGAAUACCGAUGGCGAAGGCAGCCAUCUGGCCUAACACUGACGCUGAGGUGCGAAAGCAUGGGGAGCAAACAGGAUUAGAUACCCUGGUAGUCCAUGCCGUAAACGAUGUCUACUAGCCGUUGGGGCCUUUGAGGCUUUAGUGGCGCAGCUAACGCGAUAAGUAGACCGCCUGGGGAGUACGGUCGCAAGACUAAAACUCAAAUGAAUUGACGGGGGCCCGCACAAGCGGUGGAGCAUGUGGUUUAAUUCGAUGCAACGCGAAGAACCUUACCUGGCCUUGACAUAGUAAGAACUUUCCAGAGAUGGAUUGGUGCCUUCGGGAACUUACAUACAGGUGCUGCAUGGCUGUCGUCAGCUCGUGUCGUGAGAUGUUGGGUUAAGUCCCGCAACGAGCGCAACCCUUUUCCUUAUUUGCCAGCGAGUAAUGUCGGGAACUUUAAGGAUACUGCCAGUGACAAACUGGAGGAAGGCGGGGACGACGUCAAGUCAUCAUGGCCCUUACGGCCAGGGCUACACACGUGCUACAAUGGUCGGUACAAAGGGUUGCUACCUAGCGAUAGGAUGCUAAUCUCAAAAAGCCGAUCGUAGUCCGGAUUGGAGUCUGCAACUCGACUCCAUGAAGUCGGAAUCGCUAGUAAUCGCGGAUCAGAAUGCCGCGGUGAAUACGUUCCCGGGCCUUGUACACACCGCCCGUCACACCAUGGGAGUUUGUUGCACCAGAAGUAGCUAGCCUAACUGCAAAGAGGGCGGUUACCCACCGGGGGGCCA
rnacentral:rRNA from 1 species